GUAGAACGCUUUGUCUUUAAUUGAUCUGACGAGCUUGCUCUGAUUUGAUUUCCUCUGACAAAGAGUGGCGAACGGGUGAGUAACACGUGGGUAACCUACCUCUUAGCAGGGGAUAACAUUUGGAAACAAGUGCUAAUACCGUAUAAUACCAACAACCGCAUGGUUGUUGGUUGAAAGAUGGUUCUGCUAUCACUAAGAGAUGGACCCGCGGUGCAUUAGCUAGUUGGUAAGGUAACGGCUUACCAAGGCAAUGAUGCAUAGCCGAGUUGAGAGACUGAUCGGCCACAAUGGGACUGAGACACGGCCCAUACUCCUACGGGAGGCAGCAGUAGGGAAUCUUCCACAAUGGGCGCAAGCCUGAUGGAGCAACGCCGCGUGUGUGAUGAAGGGUUUCGGCUCGUAAAACACUGUUAUAAGAGAAGAACGGCACUGAGAGUAACUGUUCAGUGUGUGACGGUAUCUUACCAGAAAGGAACGGCUAAAUACGUGCCAGCAGCCGCGGUAAUACGUAUGUUCCAAGCGUUAUCCGGAUUUAUUGGGCGUAAAGCGAGCGCAGACGGUUAUUUAAGUCUGAAGUGAAAGCCCUCAGCUCAACUGAGGAAUGGCUUUGGAAACUGGAUGACUUGAGUGCAGUAGAGGAAAGUGGAACUCCAUGUGUAGCGGUGAAAUGCGUAGAUAUAUGGAAGAACACCAGUGGCGAAGGCGGCUUUCUGGACUGUAACUGACGUUGAGGCUCGAAAGUGUGGGUAGCAAACAGGAUUAGAUACCCUGGUAGUCCACACCGUAAACGAUGAGUGCUAGAUGUUCGAGGGUUUCCGCCCUUGA
rnacentral:rRNA from 1 species